rnacentral:misc_RNA from 1 species
AACGCACAUUGCGCCCCCUGGCAUUCCGGGGGGCAUGCCUGUCCGAGCGUCAUUGCUGCCCUUCAAGCCCGGCUUGUGUGUUGGGUCGUCGUCCCCCCCGGGGGACGGGCCCGAAAGGCAGCGGCGGCACCGUGUCCGGUCCUCGAGCGUAUGGGGCUUUGUCACCCGCUCGAUUAGGGCCGGCCGGGCGCCAGCCGGCGUCUCCAACCUUAUUUUUCUCAGGUUGACCUCGGAUCAGGUAGGGAUACCCGCUGAACUUAA